CGAACGAGCGCUUAGAGUCCGCUUAUCAGUACGUCCGUCACUGGCGAGGAAAGCCGUAAUGAACUGUUUAGAAAACUGUCACGAACACGCGAGAAUGUGCGUAUAUACGAACGCGCGGGUCGGACGGGAGGCGUAACGCGCAUAUCUGCUUUCGUGCGGCUUUCGCGACGCAAUCGGUGCCUGUAAUCGCACGAAGGUUUCAAUGAAUCGCGCGAGGCAACGUGCCAGCUAGUCGCGGACCUUAUCAGCGUGGCAAAGAGCAGUAUCAGCGAUAGCCCAUUCCGUACGUCUAUUAGUCGCCGAAUCCCAAAGUUCGCCGGCGAUUUCAUUCUACAAAUGCAACGUACAGCUAUUUCAAGAUCCUGAUUCUUUUUUUUUUUUUUUAAUCAACAAUAUCGCGAUCUCGAAGCCGCUAAUCUAUGAUACGAUAUCAAAAGUGAUGGGCAACGAUGGAUAUAAUGCGUUAUAUCUUGAAUGAAACAAAAUUAUAACAGAAUGUUGGUAAAGAUAGGCGCAUUAUAAAGUAAUUUAUCGAUAAGAUAAUUCAUAAGAUUGCCUUGGUAAAACGCGUCGUUCAAAUUAAUAGAAAAAUACACUUGUGUAAAUAUUUAAAAUUUAAAGUUAAUUUCGAUUUGUACAACAGGAUGUUGAUACGCGAGUCGGGUGUGAAAACUAUCGCUCUCUAUUAUCUUUUUCUCUCGCUUUAUCGUAUUACUAAUAUUUACCAGUCAAUAGAAGAUGCGUGAUUUUAGGGAUCAUACAUUUUCGUUUGUGUUAAACAAUAACUGUUAAAUUCUCAUCGAUAAAAUAAUUUGUGUCGUUAUAAAAGUAGUUGAAGAAAAGAUUUUUUUGUCAUACAUAGUUUUAGAAAUUUUAUCAUACUUAUUUUUGCAUACUUUAUCGCGACCUAAUUCUUAUUUCAGGAUCGCUGAAUCGAAUAAUGUCAUCGACUUUUAAUCGAUGCUGAGAAGCAACGUUUCGGAGGCCAGACGCUAUCGCGCUAGAAUGGCAGUCGCGCUGCACGCGAAUGUGCAUAGGAAACUUAAUACCCGCGGGCUGCAAAUAAUAUUGUCGGGAAAGGCGGCGCAAACUGGCACAAAUGGACUCGCGUAACCGUGAUACGGGAUCGUCAUUUUCGCGGAAGAACAAUCGGCCGCGUGCGUAAUCCUAUAUUCCGUAAUCACUCGCCGUGAUUUCGAGCGGGGAAUCCCCCGCCGAUCGAGAGGAAAUAGCGCGAAUUCCAAUGUCCAACGUUCGCGACGCGACGAAAUUGAAUGAAAAACUGAAGCGGGUUAUAAUUUUAAGCACAAUUUUCAGCAUCAUACACAACGAUUCUUCUCCUACAUUAAAUUACCAAUUAAAGUAGAUUCAAGUUUGAACGAUCACUUGCUUCUUUCUAAGAAGGAACUAGGGGGAAUCCAUUAAAUCUCAGUUAGUUUUAAUUAAUGUUUAUGGGCUUACAUAGAUGCUAGUUUGUCGCCUUUUCGUUGUCACGGAUAAAAAUAACGAUCGUUUUCGCGUGUCUACAACUUGGACCCAUAUCGAAUCUUUUUUUCAUUUCAGAUUUAAUUUAUCGUAAUUAUCGAUCAUCCUUUGCACCGAGACCUACUUUGUUAUUCAGAUAGCGUGUGCAUUUUUUUUUUAUUUCGACAGAAUCCUCUUAAAUCACGAGACAUUAAGUCUCGAUAACAGCCGAUAAUAGUGCCGGAAACAGCAUUAUUCAUUAAGUUUAAUGCAUUUUCAUAAAAUACGCCAUAAAAUAGCUUAUUUUUAUGUUCCUGGAUACGGAACACAUACAUAUUUCAUUAAGAAAGACCGUCUUUAUUAAUUUUAUUCAUUUUAAACAAUGUAUAGGCACGAUGUCCUUGCGAGCCUCGUGAAAAAAAACACACGUCAUAUGCGACGAAGAAGAAAAAAGAAGAAAAGAAAAGGGAAGAGUGAGAGAGAGAGUGCACAAGUGAGAUGAGGGGAAAAAGGAUCAGGUUCCUCUCCACGUUUUCAACGGGAGUACGAAAUUACGUUCGGCGUGUAUUCGGCGAGAGGGAGACACGCUAAAACGACGUCGACGUUUAUAACUCUUUGAUGUAUUUCGAGUCUUAUGCGCCCUGCCGGAGCAAGUUUUAGCAAACGUUGGUCGAGUGCAAUCGGACUGUGCGGAUUGAAAAAAAGAAGAUAUUAAAAAUACGACGAUUAUACAUCGUAAUUACUGCAAUUUCAAAGGGUUAAAGUCUGGUGUCACUUGGCUGAUAUCAAAUCGAUCGCGCACAGCGAUCGGCUGGUCCAGUAUCUUGUGUAAACGCUCGAGGUUGAAGCAUGACCGAAGGAUGCGAGAGAGAGAGAGAGAGA